GAGUCUGAUUGGAAAAACGAGAACUGCUAAUUACUCGCUUCUAUGGUUCAAUUCCAUAGCAAACUCG
rnacentral:tRNA from 1 species